UUCCUCGUUGCAGGACUAGCCCUCUCUUACAGCCUCCUUUCCCUCUGCCUUGCAUCUCACUGGGAGACCGCUCCACCAGCUGGUUGGCUGGUCCUCCAGCUCAGGAUUGUCAGGAGGACAGCUCGCUGCAUCGGCCGUGAGAAGGCUCCUCCCAGCACCAUGGGGGUUUCCUUCCUCCUCUGCCUCCUCCCUGCUCUCCUAGCCACAGCCAGUGCCGAAGUUAUCAAAUGUGUGCGGUGCCGCGGCUCGGCAGCCGAAUGCCAGGACA